GAAUCGCUCUUGUCGGUGUGUAUCACAGGGGGUAUGCUCAUUAAAUGAAACCCCUAGAACAAGAAGGGUUGGUUUCUACGGUAGUCUAAGUUAACGCUCAUCACGCACCGCACGUGCAUUUGUUUCACUGUUCCAACUACUGCGCGUACCCACU